GACGUCCGUGGGGCACCGGUGCCUGGGAUUACUGCACGGGGUCGCGCCGUGGCGGAGCAGCCUCCAUCCCUGUGAGAUCACUGCCCUGAGCCAAUCCCUACAGCCCUUACGGAAGCUGCCGUUUAGAGCCUUUCGCACAGAUGCCAGAAAAAUCCACACUGCCCCUGCCCGAACCAUGUUCCUGCUGCGUCCCGUGCCCAUUCUGUUGGCAACAGGUGGCGGGUAUGCAGGGUACCGGCAGUAUGAGAAGUACAGGGAGCGAGAGCUGGAGAAGCUGGGAUUGGAGAUUCCACCUAAACUUGCUGGUCACUGGGAGGUGGCUUUGUACAAGUCAGUGCCAACGCGCUUGCUGUCACGGGCCUGGGGUCGCCUCAAUCAGGUGGAGCUGCCACACUGGCUGCGCAGGCCCGUCUACAGCCUCUACAUCUGGACGUUCGGGGUGAACAUGAAAGAGGCCGCUGUGGAGGACCUGCAUCACUACCGCAACCUCAGCGAGUUCUUCCGGCGCAAGCUGAAGCCGCAGGCCCGGCCUGUCUGCGGCCUGCACAGCGUGGUGAGGCCCGAUCCUUUCUUCCUGCAGGAAACAGGACUUUUUCCUGCCUCCCCAGCACAGCCCCUGGGUCUCCAGCAUAUCUGGAAGGGGCAGGAUGACAAGGGGAGGUGGGGGCUGUCUCCUGGGGGGAGGAGACCCUGCUCUCCCUGGCAGCAAGCCUCUCCUGCCCUUCCAGAUUAGCCCAUCGGAUGGAAGGAUCCUCAACUUUGGGCAGGUGAAGAACUGUGAGGUGGAGCAGGUAAAGGGGGUCACCUACUCCCUGGAGUCGUUCCUGGGCCCGCGUACCUGCACAGAGGACCUGCCCUUCCCACCAGGUGGGUCACUGCACAGGCGGGGCCGGGCAGCCCUGCUGCUGUGUGGCUGGACCGGGAGGGAGGGGAAUGCUGGGGAAGGACCUGAGGCUGGCAUGUGGGGCCUCCCUGAGAAUCCGUGUGCAGACCGCACUCAGGCUGUGUGCUGAGUGCUCACUGUGUUGGUGGCCCCCACGUCUGCUCCUACUCCACAGCCACCUCAUGUGACUCCUUCAAGAACCAGCUGGUCACCCGGGAAGGGAAUGAGCUCUAUCACUGUGUCAUCUACCUGGCCCCUGGGGACUACCACUGCUUCCACUCCCCUACUGACUGGACUGUGUCCCACCGGCGCCACUUCCCAGGCUCCCUGAUGUCAGUGAACCCUGGCAUGGCUCGCUGGAUCAAAGAGCUCUUCUGCCAUAACGAGCGGGUGGUCCUGACGGGGGACUGGAAACACGGCUUCUUUUCACUGACAGCUGUGGGGGCCACCAACGUGGGCUCCAUUCGCAUCUACUUUGACCAGGACCUGCACACAAACAGCCCAAGGCACAGCAAGGGCUCCUACAACGACUUCAGCUUCGUGACGCACACCAAUAGAGAGGGCGUCCCCAUGCGUAAGGGCGAGCACCUGGGCGAGUUCAACCUGGGCUCCACCAUCGUGCUCAUCUUCGAGGCCCCCAAGGACUUCAAUUUCCAGCUGAAAACAGGACAGAAAAUCCGCUUUGGGGAAGCCCUGGGCUCGCUCUAGAGUCUCUUUCCUGAUUACGGCUGCUAAAGGAUCUUUUCCAAACAGAGUGAGGGUCUUUUAAAGAGGGAGGCCCAUGAGGCCAUCCAGGUGAGGGCCUGCCUCAGCGUGGGUGGGAGUCUGACCAGGUAGGACUUGAAUGAUUCGGCUCCCACCUGUUCCAGAGGUGCA
rnacentral:sRNA from 1 species